CCCUUCAUUCAAGCCACUGAUUCAAGCAAAUCAAGCUUGUUUUCUCACUCUGCGGCUGUAAAACUCGAUGAAGUUGCUCUCCCAGCAUUGCAAUGCAUGCUAGGAGGCAUGUUGGACGGCAACAGCAGGUGGCAGCAGCGGUUGACUCUCUCCCCCCAAGUUGACUCAACAACAACUUUGGACUUGUCAAUGAGAGCCGUUGAUGUACAACGUAGUGGAGCCCUUGUCGCUGAUUGGCAAGUUGGCCAGGUCUGUGAGCUGGAGUACUUCAUGUCGGUUUUUUUGCGUUCAAGAGGGAAUAAGCUUUAACCUUAGUCAAUUGGUAAAGAGUUGUGCAAACUUAUAAUAAACUUUCCCAUAAUAUUACUACUUCAUGACUGUAUGACUCAUGUAUGACUUCAUGACUCAUGAAUAUUAUCAUUUUAUUCUUUUUCUAAAUGUUACGUUAUUCUCUUGACUUUAAAUUUUUUUUUUUUUUUAGAUAUUACAUAUUAUUAUGAUGUCACUACUUAAUUUUUAUAACUAAGAUUUUUCUCAUAAUAUGAAGAUUCUCAUUACGGAUUUUUCCUCAUAAGACUACAACUUUAUUCUCAUAACUUUGUUU